CCACAGUUAGUUUUCGAUUGAGAAAAAUCUUCAUCGCACAAAUCAAAGCGAUAAUUUCAUCGCCACUGUCGAAUUUUUCUAUAGUUUUCAAUUCAUAAUCAUGUUUCGCGAAAAAUCAUUACAGAUGCUGAUGCUGUUUUCAAUCACUGUUCUGCCACUCGUAACAUGCACUGGUGAUGCUCUAGUACCAAAAUCCAAUACACCUGUAUAUAGUGAAGAAGAACCGAACGCUGUCAUUGGUGAAGAAGAAUUGAAAG